rnacentral:rRNA from 1 species
GGAAUAUUGGUCAAUGGGCGGAAGCCUGAACCAGCCAUGCCGCGUGCGGGAAGACGGCCCUACGGGUUGUAAACCGCUUUUGUGUGGGAGCAAUAAGGGUGUCGGGCACACCUGAUGAGAGUACCAUACGAAUAAGCAUCGGCUAACUCCGUGCCAGCAGCCGCGGUAAUACGGAGGAUGCGAGCGUUAUCCGGAUUCAUUGGGUUUAAAGGGUGCGUAGGCUGUGCGAUAAGUCAGGGGUGAAAUACCGUCGCUCAACGUCGGGGCUGCCCUUGAUACUGUCGCGCUGGAGUGCGGGUGCAGCCGGAGGAAUGAGUGGUGUAGCGGUGAAAUGCAUAGAUAUCACUCAGAACACCGAUUGCGAAGGCAUCUGGCGAAUCCGCCACUGACGCUGAGGCACGAAAGCGUGGGGAUAGAACA